rnacentral:siRNA from 1 species
ACUGGAAGUACCUCAUAGCACCA